rnacentral:pre_miRNA from 11 species
UUCUCACAGACUCUGUGAGGCGGUCUUGAAAGACCCCCAGAGUGGGGAGACCCUCACUCAAGUCUCGGGAUAAGCUGAUGCCCCAAUAAUUCAAGAGAGACU